rnacentral:tRNA from 1 species
GAAAGUGUGGCUCAGUGGUAGAGCACUUGCCUAGCAUGCAUGAAGCCCUGGGUUCGAUUCCUCAGUGUCA